rnacentral:rRNA from 1 species
AGCAGCCGCGGUAAUUCCAGCUCCAAUAGCGUAUAUUAAAGUUGUUGCAGUUAAAAAGCUCGUAGUUGAAUUUCGGAAUCUGUCCAUCGGUCGGGCUUCAUUGUCCGUACUGGUGUGGUGGGUUCUUACCUUCUGAAUAACCAGCAUGCCAUUUAUUUGGUGCGCUGGGGAAGCAGGACUAUUACCUUGAAAAAUUAGAGUGCUCAAAGCAGGCUAGUGCCUGAAUACAUUAGCAUGGAAUAAUAAAAUAGGACGGCAUGGUUCUAUUUUGUUGGUUUCUAGGAUCACCGUAAUGAUUAAUAGGGAUAGUUGGGGGCAUUAGUAUUCAAUUGUCAGAGGUGAAAUUCUUGGAUUUAUUGAAGACUAACUUCUGCGAAAGCAUUUGCCAAGGAUGUUUUCAUUAAUCAAGAACGAAAGUUAGGGGAUCGAAGGCGAUCAGAUACCGUCGUAGUCUUAACCAUAAACUAUGCCGACUAGGGAUCGGACGAUGUUAAUUUUUAAUGACUCGUUCGGUACG